UUGAACGCUGGCGGCAUGCUUUACACAUGCAAGUCGAACGGCAGCACGGGGGCAACCCUGGUGGCGAGUGGCGAACGGGUGAGUAAUAUAUCGGAACAUAUCCGGGAGUGGGGGAUAACGUAGCGAAAGUUACGCUAAUACCGCAUAUGCCCUGAGGGGGAAAGUGGGGGAUCGCAAGACCUCACGCUUUCGGAGUGGCCGAUAUCGGAUUAGCUAGUUGGUGGGGUAAAGGCCCACCAAGGCGACGAUCCGUAGCUGGUCUGAGAGGACGACCAGCCACACUGGGACUGAGACACGGCCCAGACUCCUACGGGAGGCAGCAGUGGGGAAUUUUGGACAAUGGGCGCAAGCCUGAUCCAGCCAUGCCGCGUGCGGGACGAAGGCCUUCGGGUUGUAAACCGCUUUCAGCCGGAAAGAAAUCGUCAAGGCUAAUAUCCUUGAUGGAUGACGGUACCGGAAGAAGAAGCACCGGCUAACUACGU
rnacentral:rRNA from 1 species